rnacentral:tRNA from 1 species
GUGUUUAUAGUUUAAUAAAAACCU